GGGGGAGGCGGGGGCCGUCCCGUCGGUUUCCGCGGGCGGGGGCGUAGGGCCGGGGGGAGCGGCCGGGGGAGCUCGGCGGCCGCCGUCUUACGACAGAUCCUGGAAAGAGGAUCAAGGUGGGGCCCGCCCCGCCGCGCACCGCCGGCAACCGACGGGGCGGCCCGGGCUCGGCCGCUGGGAGCACGGCGGAGAGCUGCAGGCGGCGAGGUGCCCUCCCGUCGGGGCCGCGCUGCGCUGCCCGGCCCGAGGGGCUGUUUACCCGGGCGGGGGGAGGCAGAUAAGGCGGAGGGGAAAUGCCGGGGCUGUUUGCUGAGGGAUUAGGGCCGGUCCCGCCGCGCCGGGGCCCGGGAUGGGGGUGGGGUGGGGGGGGCGGCGGGCGCGGUGGGUGUCCCCGCGGAGAAGUCCGUUUGGAGAUCUGCGCUGAUUAACUGAGGGCUGCGGUGGCUGAAGAGGGCCCUGGCGCCAGGCGGCUGAGCCCUCACAAUAAAGACCCGUCUCUUGUCACUUCAUAUUUACCCCCAAAUCUUCAAAAAGCGCCCUGCGAUCCUUACAAGGCUCCUGCCACCGCCGCCUGCGCUGCGGCCAGACGGGACGGGGACGGGGGGGCGGAGGCGGCCCCCUCCUCUGCCCACGGCUCCGCGGGUGCGCAGCGACGCGCUGCCUUCCUGGGGACCGCGCUGGGCCUCUCCCCGCGGAGGGUGAGACGCGGGGACCCCCGGCAGCCCUCUCCCCACCCCCACCUCUCCGCUGUUUCUCCCCACACCGUGGCUCAUCGUGCUGCCAGCAAACCCCGGUGCUGCGAAGGGCCCGAGGAGAAGCCCCGGAGGCGGCCGCAUCCCGCCCCGUCCCGCGGCAGGUUCACCUCCAGCCGUCGCCUCCCGACGGGGCGGACACAGCGCGGCCACCGCGGAGCUGCCCUCACCGCCCCGGCCGCCGCGCGGGGCUGAGGGGGGUGUGUGUGUUGGGGGGGGGGAUCGGUCCCGCUGACCAUUGAACGGGGCGAGGUGGCGAGCGGGGAUUGAAAUUUAGACCUCAUUUGGACUUUGCUUCCUCGCCACCGUCGAAAUGUGCUGACUGCAGCUUUGGCAAAAAUGGGGCUUGCUUGGGCUUUUUUUUUUUCCUUUUUUUUUCCUCCCCUCCAAGCACACCCGGAUCCUCGCGUUGCCCCAGGGCCACAUCACCCCACUCCAGGGCACUGCGCAGACCCGCAGACACCGCACCCGCAGCUCCAAGGGGCAGUGCGGGGCCCCGCAAAGAAACGUCGCCUCUCCCCGGGCCCAGGUUCCGGGACCCCCCCGGCACAGCUGUAACGUCGCGAACGCCCACGCCUGCAGAAUAAAAACCGAUCCAGAGCCGCCUCGUCUCCCCGAGCCUCUGUGGCAGCGCCCGUCGGUGGGACAGCUGAGCCGGUAGACUUAGGCCUUGGCGCCAGGCCGUUUAAGACCUGUCAAAGUCCUUCAUAUUUCCCUCAUGUCACAUGGACCUUUCGCUCCCUUCCCCGCGCCAUGCGAGGGCCGUAAUUUGGAUCUGUGAGCUGUCGGGCCUCCGUCUUCCCCUCCUCCCGGCUCCUCCGGGCUGAGGCGGCUCCGCGCCCCGGGGCGCUCCUCUCGACGGUGCGGGGCCGCCCCACGAACCGCCGCCGGCCGCCUCUGGAGUGACUCUCGGAUUGAGCCAAAAAGGGGUUUUCUUCUCGUGCUGGAAGCGAGCCGUCGGGGCCCGCUUCUCGGCAGAGAUGAAGGGCGUUGUACGCCUGGGCCCCGACGGAGCCGGGCAGCAGCGGCCGUUGUGCACCUUCCAGAGGUGGGAAAAGGCCGGGCCGCGAAAGAGCCGGGUCCGCUGCGGGGGGUUCCUCAGCCCGGUGGGGCCGCCGAGGGCCGGGCUGAGCGGCUGUCCAUCACCGGACGUGGGGCACCAGAGUCCUCUGCACGUGCAGUGCACAGCAAUCCCGCAGGUGUGGGCUGGGAGCUCGUGGAAAUAACCCUUCGCCCUCGGAGGAGCGGCCCCGAAGCUCUCUGCCACUUUUCUCCCUCUCCACCUGGAGAAGAGACACGGGGGAACGUCCCCGCCCCGCGCUGAGGUGCCCGUCGAGGGGCGGCGGCUGCCCCACAGGUGGGGCGGGGAGAGACCCGAUGAUCGCCCCGUCCCGGCCCCCGUGGGAUGCGCCUUUAUGGACAGCGAUGCCCGGCCCCGGCCACACCACCUCUUCCCGCUGUGCGCCCCGUCCGUGCGGAGGGAACCCCGGCACCCCCUGAGCCCCCCCACCCUCAGCCUGUUUAGAUUUCUCUCCGAAUGUUUCCCGUAAUCCAGAUUUCUGGAAAAUAACCACACGCGGGCAGACGCGGCCACGAACGCCGCUGAAGUUUAUCCGGAAUUUGACCAACGUAUAAACACAUUUCCAGCCCGUUCGGCGGGGCGGGCGCUGGGUGACCCCUGCCCGGCACCGGGGCUGCACCGCGCUCCGCCCUCGUUACCUCCGCGCCGCUUUGAUCCGGAGCCCUCCGAGCUCCGCCGCUUGAUUGAGUUUUUGUAAUUAAGGAGCGCAGGGAGAGGGAGGGGGGGGCGGCCGUAACCCCGCACACCCCGGGGCUGCGCACGUCGGGGCGCGGCGCCUCGGCCGCUCCGAGCCCGUUCCCUUAAAAGGCGACGGGAGCCCCGCGCAGCGCCGGGGGGGGACGGGGGGGGACGCGGCGUGAAACCCGAGCGGCACUGCGGGGGGCGGGCGGCGGCGCGGGGCGGGGCGGGGGGAGGUGGGGAGGAUCAUGCAAAUCCCUCUGUUUAAAAAACUUCCAUUUGAGAAAGUGUGUCACAUCCCGGCGCGGGCGUGUAAUCCCCGGGCUAAUGGUAUUACCGCCGCCUCAUCGGCGUAAUGGGAUGGGGCCGGGGGCGACCAUCCCCCGGACCCUCCGCCACGCGUGACCGCAGCCCCAUAGCGCCCGCCCCGUCGGGGCCCCGCUGCCCCACCUCUCCCCCUCCCCGCUCCCCGUCCUCCCUCCCAGGCCCCGCGGUGUCUGUAGGAGAGCGGAGCCCCCGUUUUUGCCGGGGGUUCCCGGACCAAAACCGACCCCGGGAGGGGAGAGCAGGAGCUGCGCCUCGUGGUCGGUUCAUCUCUUAAAUAAAAGAGAUUAGCGAGCACCGUUAUUUGAUAAAAUAAUGCUGUUAUGGCCACCACCCCCUUCCCCUGUGGGAUUAAAAGUGAGGAUUUGAGGCUGUCCAACAGUCUGACCUGGAUCGCUGCGGGAACAGCCCCCGGGAUGGGCUGUUAGCAACCAAAAAACCCACGGAACUGGGAGAUGUGGGCAAAGGGGCAGCUCUGCCCAUCAGAUGAGACCUGAGGAUGGGCAGCGGUGGGCAAAAGGAGAACCACGACACCCCCAGCAGCAGAGCUGGCCCUGGCCCCGGCCCCUCUGCAGGGCACGGACCCUUCAAACCCCAAAAUGUUUAGGGUAGGAGUUGCAGCACCUGAGUUCAGCGCUCCUGGGCUCACACCUUGGGCCCUCAUGCUUCGAACGAGAUUUGGGAAUGUAAUCUGGGAUGGAGAUGAACCGGGAGCCGGCACCGCUGCUCUCAUACCACGUUCGUGUUUGUUUGUUUUCUUUUGCUCUCCAUCAG
ensembl:lncRNA